rnacentral:lncRNA from 1 species
UCUUCAUCUCAUUUCUGAUUUCUUAUUAUUUUACUUUGACUCUCAAUGUCAUUUGGUCAACACAUAUGGAUUGGUACAUUUGAUUUCACCUCAUGCACUUUAUUCUUUCCAUUUCUUUUUUCCAUUAUUCAUCUCUUUCUUCUUAUUCUUCUUUUUUUCUUUUUGAUCAAUGAGUUGAAGGUUGAUGAGUUAGUAUUGAUUAGGGAGGCUUAAUCU